AGAAAUUGAGAGUGUGCUGCAUACAUUGAUCUGAUGUGGCACCUCAGUGAAUCUCAUGGCAAGACCUGGAACAUCUGGCCAAUAGGGGUGUAGGGAUUUAGGUGAUUGGUGUACUCUGAGCCAGGUCCAAUGUGUUACUGCUAUCUAGCUAUUUACAUUCAUUUUGAUCCUUCAGAAAUGUGAAUUUUGCAUUUUGGCCAA
rnacentral:lncRNA from 1 species